rnacentral:lncRNA from 1 species
GUACCAAGCACUCAACUGCUGCUGCAGGCAGUUCUUACAAAUGUAUGGUGCUCUUUCUGCCAGCAACCCAGAUGUGGGCAUGAUGAGUGGAUGAAUUCGGGGUUGGGGUUUAUCAGGCGUAGGUGGCAAAACAUCGUUGAAUGGAAGCAUGAUCAGGAGCAAAGUGCUGUGUGAUACAGGUGCAGCAGGGCAGGAGAUGAAGCAAAGAGGCAGCUGCAGACUGGAAGAAACUAGGUCCAAGCCGGGAUCCUGAUGAAGUUGCUGAGGAGGCUGUAUCCCUGUGCUGGCAGGGACGGAUGGAUGGAUGCAGAGAAAGGCUUCUUCUCAGCUCUCUGUGACUCGGCUUGGAGACGGGCUCUUCCUGACCUGACUCUGGAAACACUUGCAUGCUCUCCUAGGAGUGGCGGUGUAUCAACAGGCAUCCCAACUACUGAAGCCCCAAAUGACAGGCCACCGGGCUGGUCACAGGUUGAAUCCGUGUUACCAUAUGUGUUCUUUGUGCUGUACAGGUUUUGUUUCCCUUUUA